rnacentral:tRNA from 3 species
GGGCCCGUGGGUUAGCUUGGUAUACUUGUGCGUUCGGGACGCAUAGACUCCGGUUCAAAUCCGGGCGGGCCCA